UCUGGUGAUUCAUCGGAGAGGCCACACCUGUUCUCAUUCCGAACACAGAAGUUAAGCUCUCUUGAGGCGAUGAUACUCCUUGUGGGGAAAGUAGCUAAUCGCCAGAA
rnacentral:rRNA from 1 species